AGUGAACGCUGGCGGUAGGCCUAACACAUGCAAGUCGAACGGCAGCACAGUAAGAGCUUGCUCUUACGGGUGGCGAGUGGCGGACGGGUGAGGAAUACAUCGGAAUCUACUUUUUCGUGGGGGAUAACGUAGGGAAACUUACGCUAAUACCGCAUACGACCUACGGGUGAAAGCAGGGGAUCUUCGGACCUUGCGCGAUUGAAUGAGCCGAUGUCGGAUUAGCUAGUUGGCGGGGUAAAGGCCCACCAAGGCGACGAUACGCAGCUGGUCUGAGAGGAUGGUCGGCGGCACUGGAGCUUGACCGCGGUCCUGACUCCUACGGGAGGCAGCAGUGGGGUAUGUUAGACAGUGGGCGCGAGCCUUGUCCAGCCAUCCCGCGUGGGUUGAGAAGGCCUUCGGGUUGUAAAGCCGUUUUGUUGGGAGAGAAAAGCAGCAGGUUAAGACCCCGCUGUUCUGACGGUACCCAAAGAAUAAGCACCGGCUAACUUCGUG
rnacentral:rRNA from 1 species